rnacentral:rRNA from 1 species
GAUGAACGCUGGCGGCGUGCUUAACACAUGCAAGUCGAACGGAAAGGCCACAGCUUGCUGUGGUACUCGAGUGGCGAACGGGUGAGUAACACGUGGGUGAUCUGCCCUGUACUUCGGGAUAAGCUUGGGAAACUGGGUCUAAUACCGGAUAGGAAUCACAUGUGGGUGUGUGGUUGGAAAGCUUUUGCGGUAUGGGAUGAGCUCGCGGCCUAUCAGCUUGUUGGUGGGGUAAUGGCCUACCAAGGCGCCGACGGGUAGCCGGCCUGAGAGGGUGUACGGCCACAUUGGGACUGAGAUACGGCCCAGACUCCUACGGGAGGCAGCAGUGGGGAAUAUUGCACAAUGGGCGCAAGCCUGAUGCAGCGACGCCGCGUGGGGGAUGACGGCCUUCGGGUUGUAAACUCCUUUCGUCAGGGACGAAGCGAAAGUGACGGUACCUGGAUAAGAAGCACCGGCUAACUACGUG